CUAACCGACAGUUGUCAUUUUGGUUGCGUCGUGAAGUCUGUCACAAACAUGGCGAUAUGUUUUAAAGGAAGACCUACCUAAAAGAGAGUUUACACUGUGCGUCAAUGAACCGGACGAUCUACUAAACUAAUAAUAAACUAAACGAAUGGUUUGCCGUUUACAACAAACGAACGAAUGGACGAGAAGACAAUUUGAAAACUCUCUUGUACCAGAAUAUACAUACAUACGUACAUAUUUACAUACACACAUACACAUGUAUACUUGGGGAUGAUUCAAAGUAGAUAAAUCAGAAAUGAGAGACGAGAAAGCGUCGAAGAAAGAUGAGUCCUCGUUUGUUUGAGAAAGCAACAUACCAAUCGAAUCACCGUGCGAUCGGUGGUGACUCACGCGUUUUAACCGAAUAUGUGUGUUCGAGAAAGCAGGAAGGGGAAGAAAGAUUAAGAGUGGGGGGAAGACGGCAAGAUUGGUCGGGGGUGAGAGGGACGCAACGAAUAAACACACGAGCGUUCUCUAACCCCUUUUUCUUCCGGAUUUAAA
rnacentral:lncRNA from 1 species